rnacentral:rRNA from 1 species
UACGCAGGCAGCAAGCGUUGUUCGGAGUUACUGGGCGUAAAGAGUGCGUAGGUGGUGCCCUAAGUCUGUUGUGAAAUCUCCCGGCUUAACUGGGAGGGUGCGGUGGAAACUGGGGUGCUUGAGUGUGGGAGAGGUAAGCGGAAUUCCUGGUGUAGCGGUGAAAUGCGUAGAUAUCAGGAGGAACACCGGUGGUGUAGACGGCUUACUGGACCACGACUGACACUGAGGCACGAAAGCUAGGGGAGCAAACGGG